rnacentral:rRNA from 1 species
CGCUGGCGGCAUGCUUACACAUGCAAGUCGAACGCUCUGGCUUCGGCCAGGGAGUGGCGCACGGGUGAGUAGCGCGUGGGAACCUGCCCUGAAGUGGGGAUAACCGAGGGAAACUUCGGCUAAUACCGCAUACGCCGGGAAACCGGGAAAGAUUUAUCGCUUUAGGAGGGGCCCGCGUCGGAUUAGCUAGUUGGUGGGGUAACGGCCUACCAAGGCAAUGAUCCGUAGCUGGUCUGAGAGGAUGAUCAGCCACACUGGGACUGAGACACGGCCCAGACUCCUACGGGAGGCAGCAGUGGGGAAUAUUGGACAAUGGGCGCAAGCCUGAUCCAGCAAUGCCGCGUGAGUGAGGAAGGCCUUAGGGUUGUAAAGCUCUUUCGCACGCGACGAUGAUGACGGUAGCGUGAGAAGAAGCCCCGGCUAACUUCGUGCCAGCAGCCGCGGUAAUACGAAGGGGGCGAGCGUUGUUCGGAUUUACUGGGCGUAAAGGGCGCGCAGGCGGCGAUUUUUGUCAGGCGUGAAAGCCCCGGGCUC